ACCGUUAACCCAACACAGGAGUGCCUCAAGGAAAGACUAAAAGGAGAAGAAGGAACUCGGCAAACACAAACCCCGCCUGUUUACCAAAAACAUCGCCUCUUGCUAACAAAGGAAGUACUAGAGGUCCCGCCUGCCCUGUGACCACAAAGUUUAACGGCCGCGGUAUCCUGACCGUGCGAAGGUAGCGUAAUCAUUUGUCUUUUAAAUAGAGACCUGUAUGAAUGGCAUAACGAGGGUUUAACUGUCUCCCUCCCCUAGUCAAUGAAAUUGAUCUGCCCGUGCAGAAGCGGGCAUAAAUACAUAAGACGAGAAGACCCUAUGGAGCUUUAGACGAAAGAUCAAACAUGUAAAGAAACCAAACUAACCAAAAGGAACACAAAGGCCACUAAACCCAACGUAAAAUGAUCCAAAUGUCUUCGGUUGGGGCGACCAUGGGGGAAAGAAAAGCCCCCACGAGGAACUAGGGGCAAUCCAUUAAGUCAAGAGAUACACCUCUAAGCAACAGAAAAUCUGACCAAAAAUGACCCAGGACACUAAUCCUGAUCAACGAACCAAGUUACCCUAGGGAUAACAGCGCAAUCCUUUCCCAGAGUCCAUAUCGACGAAAGGGUUUACGACCUCGAUGUUGGAUCAGGACAUCCUAAUGGUGCAGCCGCU
rnacentral:rRNA from 1 species